rnacentral:rRNA from 1 species
UACGUAGGGGGCAAGCGUUGUCCGGAAUCAUUGGGCGUAAAGAGCGCGUAGGCGGCCCUGUAAGUCCGCUGUGAAAGUCAAGGGCCUCAACCCUUGGAUGCCGGGUGGAUACGUGCGAGGGCUAGAGUCCGGAAGAGGCGAGUGGAAUUCCUGGUGUAGCGGUGAAAUGCGCAGAUAUCGAGGAGGAACACCGGUGGCGAAGGCGGAUCUCUGGGCCUUACCUGACGCUCAGGUGCGAAAGCUAGGGGGAGCGAACAGG